rfam:Paenibacillus sp. LPB0068 PNBC_10, whole genome shotgun sequence.
CACAUGCUGUAACCGCACCGAUCGGGUCGUGAAGCGCAGUAUAUUUACAGUGCUGCCACCUAGAUUAGGCGAGUCUGAGACAUGAG